rnacentral:rRNA from 1 species
AUUGAACGCUGGCGGCAGGCCUAACACAUGCAAGUCGAACGAGUGGCGGAAGGGUGAGUAAUGUCUGGGAACCUGCCUGAUGGAGGGGGAUGACUACUGGAAACGGUAGCUAAUUCCGCAUACCACCAGAUGUGUCCGGAUGGGAUUAGCUUGUUGGUGGGGUAACGGCUCACCAAGGCGACGAUCCCUAGCUGGUUUGAGAGGAUGACCAGCCACACGGGAACUGAGACACGGGCCAGACUCCUACGGGAGGCAGCAGUGGGGAAUUUUGCACAAUGGGCGCAAGCCUGAUGCAGCCAUGCCGCGUGUAUGAAGAAGGCCUUCGGGUUGUAAAGUACUUUCAGCAGGAAGGCGUUACCCGCAGAAUAAGCACCGGCUAACUCCGUGCCAGCAGCCGCGGUAAUAC